GAUCCUGGCUCAGGACGAACGCUGGCGGCGCGCCUAACACAUGCAAGUCGAACGAGCGAGAGAGGGUUUACUUUCUCAAGCGAGUGGCGAACGGGUGAGUAACGCGUGAGGAACCUGCCUCAAAGAGGGGGACAACAGUUGGAAACGACUGCUAAUACCGCAUAAGCCCACGACCCGGCAUCGGGUAGAGGGAAAAGGAGCAAUCCGCUUUGAGAUGGCUUCGCGUCCGAUUAGCUAGUUGGUGAGGUAACGG
rnacentral:rRNA from 1 species